GAAGUGUGGACGCCAGUCUGCAUGGAGCCGACCUUGAAAUACCACCCUUUAAUGUUUGAUGUUCUAACGUUGACCCGUAAUCCGGGUUGCGGACAGUGUCUGGUGGGUAGUUUGACUGGGGCGGUCUCCUCCUAAAGAGUAACGGAGGAGCACGAAGGUUGGCUAAUCCUGGUCGGACAUCAGGAGGUUAGUGCAAUGGCAUAAGCCAGCUUGACUGCGAGCGUGACGGCGCGAGCAGGUGCGAAAGCAGGUCAUAGUGAUCCGGUGGUUCUGAAUGGAAGGGCCAUCGCUCAACGGAUAAAAGGUACUCCGGGGAUAACAGGCUGAUACCGCCCAAGAGUUCAUAUCGACGGCGGUGUUUGGCACCUCGAUGUCGGCUCAUCACAUCCUGGGGCUGAAGUAGGUCCCAAGGGUAUGGCUGUUCGCCAUUUAAAGUGGUACGCGAGCUGGGUUUAGAACGUCGUGAGACAGUUCGGUCCCUAUCUGCCGUGGGCGCUGGAGAACUGAGGGGGGCUGCUCCUAGUACGAGAGGACCGGAGUGGACGCAUCACUGGUGUUCGGGUUGUCAUGCCAAUGGCACUGCCCGGUAGCUAAAUGCGGAAGAGAUAAGUGCUGAAAGCAUCUAAGCACGAAACUUGCCCCGAGAUGAGUUCUCCCUGACCCUUUAAGGGUCCUGAAGGAACGUUGAAGACGACGACGUUGAUAGGCCGGGUGUGUAAGCGCAGCGAUGCGUUGAGCUAACCGGUACUAAUGAACCGUGAGGCUUAACCUUACAACGCCGAAGGUGUUU
rnacentral:rRNA from 1 species